GUUAACUCGUGUUCAGACGACGACGGUGUUUGGUUCGGACUUGUUUGAGGUUUCUAAAGAGAUUUAACGAUACGUGGUUCGAUUCAGAACAAUCAUAUUAAGCCAAAGUGUCGUAAAUGAGUGAAAAGUUUCGAACGUAAAGACAACCUGGCUGUGAUUGAGAGACUAGCAGAUGAUCGGAGCUGCUGGUGUUCAGAGGACGGCGGUGUUUGUUUGAGCAGCUGCAGGAACCAUGUCUUCCCUUCAGUCUCUGACAGAGUUGAUCAACGAGCGACUCGCUGCUGUUGCAGAAGAAAUCUUCAGACUCUGUGAAGGAACCAUCGUCCAGUACGAGCAGGAGCUCUGUCGUCAGCGCAGACUGCUGGAUAUCUGCUGGAAACCACAGCUUCAGCUCCACCAGAUAGCUCCAGAGGCUCCGAAGCACCGAACACGUAGGAGAAUCCCAGAGGAAGAGCAGCUCUUCGGCCCGGAGAAAAUCUCUCCUUCGCCCACCGACCACGGUGCAAAGCAGGAAAGGUUCAACACGGAGUGAAGAAAAAUCCAGCCGAAAAGAAGACAGAUUCUAUUUUCCAAUGGACCAACGACCAACGCGGGUCUAAAAAUGGUACCAGUCAACCUGUUUACCGGGUCCAUUUUGUAACGGAAAUGCUAAAAAGUCCGGUCCGGCCCGAUCCAGUCCGGUCUGGACCUCUCGGUGGAAAUGAGGCAAAGUCUGUAAAACUGAAGCUCCCCUGAUUUUUUGUUGACCGCACGUAUUUAAGAUUAAACUUAAAGUUAAAGUCAAAUGAACUGUCACGUUCCUAAAUGUGUAAAUGAGUUCUCCAUGUUUGACCCAUUCCCUGGUGGAGCCGUGAGCUGUAGAGACAGCAGCACUCAGGAACUAUUUGAUGGUUUACCCUAACCGUAACCAUAAUCCUAACCUUAACCCCUUUUAUUCUGGGUUUGUGCAACUAAGACAAAAGUUUAACACUGGACGCACAUUUUUAGAAAAUUACGUGUGAAUACACACUUUCUGUUUUUUUAAAAAUACAUUUUACUGAUCCGUAAAAUGAUCCGAACCGUGACACGAUCCAAACUGUGAGUUUUGUUAUACAAGGAACUCACAAUCAUGCUGAUGCAACCUGCUCUUCACUAUCACCAUAUCCACAAAGUGAAGAAACAGUCAUAAUCCUCUCAUCAAAAUAAAAACUCUGUUAAUGAAAUAAAAAAUAAACAAAUAUUUUUCUUUGAUCUUCACAUAAAUAAAUCAGGAAAAGUAAUACUAACAAAUUUCAAAAAUAUAAUCAACAGCCUGUCCCUUGUUAUGAGAGGUUACCUUUUUCUUCAAAUACUUAAUUCGUUGCUCCUCUCUUUCUUUUUUAAUUUUAAAUUUUUUUCUUAAUUUAGUACCAGAUGCUUUUGACCAUUUUUGUCAAUCUUUCUGGCGUUUUGGCAAACUUCCCUGGCAAAAGUGUUGAUUAAACCAAUUCUCACUUCAACAUGUUUUGUGUUCACCAUUUUUAUUUGGCCAUUUCACACAAACAUUAAUUUAAUAAAAAAAAAGCAUGAAUUUUAUAUUUCUGUAUUAAAAUGUGUUACAUAAUGUC
ensembl:lncRNA